rnacentral:rRNA from 1 species
UGUGGUGGCGAGUGGCGGACGGGUGAGGAAUACAUCGGAAUCUACUCUGUAGGGGGGGAUAACGUAGGGAAACUUACGCUAAUUUCCCCUACNANCGUAGGGUGAAAGCAGGGGAUCUUCGGACCUUGCGCGAUUGAAUGAGCCGAUGUCGGAUUAUCUAGUUGGCGGUGUAGAUGCCCACCAAGGGGACGAGUGGUAGCUGGUCUGAGAUGAUGAUCAGGCACGGUGUUAAGCGACAGACCGUCCACAGUGCUACGGGAG